GGGGCUAACUAAGCAAAGUAAAGAAACAAUAAAGAAGGGAACUGAGGCAGCCAGCCAAACAACACCCAGUUCCUCUAUAACCAGGAGAAAAUGGAGCAA